CGCAGACCAACCACCAUUCUACUUGGUACCGACAAGUCACAUUCCACAUCAAUGUCGUCAGCCACGUCUAAACCAGCUUCAGUCAGAGAAGAGAAGGUGAGAGCUUAUUGUCCAUACUGUGACAAUAAUAAACACUAUCUGAAUGGCUGUGACAACUUCAAGCUUCUUAGCAAAGACCUGAAGAUAGACUGGAUAAAGACAAAGAACCGAUGCUGGCGUUGUGGUCGUGGACAUCAAGCAGCUAACUGCACACUAAAGACUUUCUGCCCAACCUGCAACAAGAAGCACCUUAUGGUACUACAUGAUGUCAAUGACCAGGUCAAGCCAUCUCAGCCAAGUGCAGCUCCUUCCAGUGCAGUUUUAUAUGUUGACCGACCAACCUCCGGAAGUAAAGUACUGCUCAAAGUGACUAAGGUUCUGAUCAAGAAUGGCAAUGUGGCAAUGGAGGCUUACGCCAUAUUAGAUAAUGGAUCAGAGCGGACCAUCAUUCUGCAUGAUGCAGUGCAGAAAUUAAGACUUGUGGGGGAGCCAGAGGACCUUGUACUUUGUACAGUGAGACAGGAUACCCAGGUCAUUCACGGGGCGGCAGUGACUUUUACUGUGUCCCAAACUGUUAACCCCAGCAAAGCUUACAAGAUCCGUAAUGCCUUCACAGCCAAAGCACUCGGUCUGGCAGAACAUACACACCCAGUUAGUGUCCUGCAACAGAAAUUUAAGCAUCUUGCAGGGUUACCUCUACAACAGCUGGACAAGGUACAUCCUGUUCUUCUCAUUGGCUCUGAUUGCCCCCACCUCCUCACACCCAUAGAACCAGUCCGACUGGGGCCCCCUGGUGGGCCAGCAGCAGUAAGAACACGUCUGGGAUGGACACUGCAGGGUCCAACUGAAGAAUUGAGCAGUCAUCUUUCCCCUGAUCAAUUGCUUCUUCACCACGCUGCGGCCUGUCAAUGACCUUUAUGCAAAUGUGGAGAGACUAUGGCAAAUGGAUGUUCUACCCUACCAGAGUGAAAAGGUGAUCACCAGGUCACGCCAAGACAAAGAGUCCAUUCAGCUUCUGCAAGAACAAAGGAAGCCUGGUACAUCCCACACCACAUGGUGCAGCAUAAUGGGAAGAACAGGGUGGUCUUUAACUGUUCAUUCUCAUAUCAAGGGCACAACCUGAACGAGCUACUGUUACCUGGUCCAACACUUGGUCCAUCUCUCCUGGCAGUCCUUCUGCGUUU
rnacentral:lncRNA from 1 species